UGCCACAGCCAUGUCACCCUGCAGCCCAAGACCGGUUACUCACUGAAGCUAAGCAGGGCCUGAGCCUGGUCGGUACCUGGAUGGGAGACCACUAGGGAACACUAGGUUGCUGUUGGAA
rnacentral:rRNA from 1 species